GUGGAGAGUAGAUUGGAGUCAGGCAAGCA
rnacentral:piRNA from 2 species